UUGGCCCCCUCUCCGUGCUCGACAGAGAGAGAGAUUGGGGGAGAUCGCUUUAGCCUGAAGGAGAGACCAGAUAGUGAAAUAAUCUUUAAUCUCUGUCCCUUCCAGGCAUCGGCAACACCUGUUUUCCUUGAUGGCGUCGUACGAGAGGGCAGCGUUCAGCCUUGUUUUAAAGCUGAUUGCCUGACUUAUAAAUAUGAAUGUCUGCUCUGCUCGGCCGCCUCAAAUCCCCGGUGGUCACUCUGUCUGCUCACACGGCAUGUGAUGAAGCAUUCAAACACGGGGACGUAAGUGACAAUGACACUACAAAGCUCAACGAUGAAGCCAGACAGGAUCUCAUUAUGGCACAAGACUGUUAAUAAUAAACUAUCGCAGGUCCCAAAUCCACGACGGUAUUAGGUGAAACAGAUUGCUCGGUCUGAAUUUAAACCCACAGCCCACCUCGAGGAGAGUCAAGUCCAAUGACAAACAUAAUUCUUCAAGGAAGUUUGGAAAUACUCGGCCAGGAAAAGGAGUUUGGAGACGGGGUGUCUCGAAAAGGUCAAGAUUUGCUGUUUGGAAGCCUAGCUCAAACAUAAAUGCUCUGUAAUACCGGUUUGGGUGAUUGCUUUACUCUCUAGACAAUGUCAAUUUUGUGGAAGGAGUUGCAGAUUAAGUCGCCGGCGUGUCAAGGGCCCUCAUGAGGGCCAGUGUCUAGUCUCGGAAACAGGUCCUAAAGCCCAUGCCUAUUACCGCAGCCACCCACAGGACAGAUGUUUAAAGCUUAGGGGUGCAAUGGAGAAUAAUAGCACAUUAGAUUCUUAAUGUCUCUGUUGAUGCCGCGCUCAUGUGGGAGGAAAAUCUCUGGUGGUCCAAACACCUUGCCCCUUUUUUCCUCAUCCCCCUCUUUAUUUUUCUUAGCUCCAUCCAGAUUUGGUUGCUCUAUCUCUCCUCAUGCCACUUGAGCGAUGAAUCCUACCCCGGAGCAAGGCGCCACACACAAUUCAUCAAGAUAUGACCCACUCGGAGGAUGCACUGGGCUAAUGAACUCAUUAAAAUGUGUGCGCGUGUCGGCACGUGUGGGAGGAUGUGGAUGUUUGCGCGAGCGCGCGUCUGCCUUGUGGGUUUAAUGUAUAUGUUUGUGUAAAAGGGAAAGAG